rnacentral:tRNA from 1 species
UGUUCUGUGGCGGAGUUGGUUAACGCGCCCUGUCUAGCGAACUUGGGGAGACGUGGGUUCAAAUCCCACCACAACUA